rnacentral:tRNA from 1 species
UCCCUGAUAGUCCAGUGGUUUGGACCUCACCUUCCAAUGCAGAGGGUACAGGUUCAAUUCCUGGUCAGGGAG